rnacentral:rRNA from 1 species
UCGAGAAUCUUCGGCAAUGGGCGCAAGCCUGACCGAGCGACGCCGCGUGGAGGACGAAGGCCUUCGGGUUGUAAACUCCUGUCGAGGGGGAGGAAGGUCGCGAGAGCGGCUUGACCGAUCCCUGGAGGAAGCACGGGCUAAGUUCGUGCCAGCAGCCGCGGUAAGACGAACCGUGCGAACGUUAUUCGGAAUCACUGGGCUUAAAGGGCGCGUAGACGGGCUCGCGCAUCGGUCGCUGAAAUCCCCCGGCUCAACCGGGGAACGGGCACCGAAAUGGCGGGCCUCGAGUGGAGGAGGGGGACCUGGAACGGCCGGUGGAGCGGUGAAAUGCGUUGAGAUCGGCCGGAACGCCGACGGCGAAAGCAGGGUCCUGGACUCCAACUGACGUUGAGGCGCGAAAGCCAGGGGAGCGAACGG